CAGCAGCCGCGGGAAUACGAAGGGGGCUAGCGUUGCUCGGAAUCACUGGGCGUAAAGGGUGCGUAGGCGGGUCUUUAAGUCAGGGGUGAAAUCCUGGAGCUCAACUCCAGAACUGCCUUUGAUACUGAAGAUCUUGUGUUCGGGAGAGGUGAGUGGAACUGCGAGUGUAGAGGUGAAAUUCGUAGAUAUUCGCAAGAACACCAGUGGCGAAGGCGGCUCACUGGCCCGAUACUGACGCUGAGGUGCGAAAGCGUGGGGAGCAAACAGGAUUAGAUACCCCAGUAGUCCCUGUCUCUUAUAA
rnacentral:rRNA from 1 species